rnacentral:rRNA from 1 species
CCUACGGGGGGCAGCAGUCGAGAAUCAUUCACAAUGGGGGAAACCCUGAUGGUGCGACGCCGCGUGGGGGAAUGAAGGUCUUCGGAUUGUAAACCCCUGUCAUGUGGGAGCAAAUUAAAAAGAUAGUACCACAAGAGGAAGAGACGGCUAACUCUGUGCAAGCAGCCGCGGUAAUACAGAGGUCUCAAGCGUUGUUCGGAAUCACUGGGCGUAAAGCGUGCGUAGGCUGUUUCGUAAGUCGUGUGUGAAAGGCGAGGGCUCAACCCGCGGACGGAACAUGAUACUGCGAGACUAGAGUAAUGGAGGGGGAACCGGAAUUCUCGGUGUAGCAGUGAACUGCGUAGAUAUCGAGCGGAACACUCGUGGCGAAGGCGGGUUCCUGGACAUUAACUGACGCUGAGGCACGAAGGCCAGGGGAGCGAAAGGGAUUAGAUACCCGAGUAGUC